UCAACUACCCAUUCAUUAUUAGUUGGUUCAACCUAGCAAAAAUUAGCUAAUAGUUAGAGCAUCUCUAAGAGUCUUUUUAAAUUUUACUUUCUAAUUUACCUUUUAAAGAGUCUGUUUGUAACACCCCACUGGUCACACACAAUGGAUAAUACCACAAACCCCACCCACCAAACUUACUCAACACAAGAGAAGUAAUAAAGAAAGAAUAUAUAGCAAAAUCCGGCAGCACCUCCUUUGAAAACUAGCAUAACAAGGAGGGGAAUCAUGAAGCUCAUACAAGAUAUAAAGACAUAUAAUUCACAUAGUAGAAACUGAAAUGCAAUAGUGGCAAAACUUAAUUAUGACCCAACUGAAGCAAAACAAAUGGGAUAAGAAACUCAGCCCACCCCAAAAUAAACGCUCAACCAAGAACAAAGCAAUUCACUAGACUUGUCCAACUCUGAUUAACAACAUUAUUAAAUGGUGGUUCCUUUAUUAAAGGUGUAGUGGCCGUGCUGCUACAUCCCUCUAUUCCCAAAGCAGAAAUUAGGUGCCUGCAUCAAACAAUGCAAGAUGUGAGAUAACACAUCUCAGCAAGUAAACAUAACAACAACAAAUAGGACAUUGUAAAUCAACUGUGCUUACACAACCACGUGUUCAGGACUUCUUUCUUUUCUUUUGAACAGUAAAUUGCAGCAAGUAAACAAGUAACUAAAAGCUCAACGCCAAGUAGAAUCACCAUGCACAAGUCCAAAUUAUCCACAUCCACAUAAUAGAUUCAACACCUCUCCCAUGAAUGCACAUGGCUACAAAUGCAAUAAUGACUUCUGCCUCCAUAUCUCUAAGGAUAUGAAGCUGCACCAUACCCCUUCUCGGGCAACAUAUGAUGCUCAAUGUACCGGUACGGUCGGACCAUAAGAUCGCGACGAAACUUCAAUGCAAUGGAUGAUGAGUGCAUUAUGCAUGACAACAUCAUGAGUUCUUCCCAAAUAAAAAUGUGCUAGACAUUUACUUCCACCCAUUCCACAUAAUAACCACUUGAGUAACAUAAUCAAACCUCAAACUCAACAUAUGAAAUUCAUGAAACAUGAACAUUUUCAAAUCAUGGUACUCAAAAGAAACUAUGAAUUUGAACAUAAUAGCACAACAUAAACAAGUAUAAGACUCCUCAUCUGACAGACGGAAUAACCAUCACAGUUUUACUUGCCUUCACCGGAAGUUUGGGCAAAUCCCUAAGAACGAUCUGGGAGUCCACCACCUAUUUUUGACACCCAACUUAGUGCACCAAAUUCACAUAAAAAACUCAACACAACGCCGCACCUACGCGCAAUCUCCAACCCCGCCGCGGGUAACAAUUCUCCCCACACCAACCAAACUGCAGCGACGCUUCUUAACAAUUCCAUAACUUUAAAAUUAAGACAGCAGUGGUGUCAAACAAAAACUCCAGAGGCAACUACAUAAAAUUCCCCACAAGUUUUGUAUACAACUUAUGAUUAAAUUCUAACAUCUAAUUACCCCUAAACGGUCCAUAAAAUAAACCCUGCAAUCUGUUUUUUUUUCUGUUUUGGGCAGCGACAUACUCGGAUUCAAACAGCGAUAACUUUUAAAAUAUAAUUCCGAAUCAAGCGCAUAAGUACUUGUUGGAAAGAUAAGAAAGAGCCCUUCAUGAUUCUUAUACUGAUUAACCCUAAUUACUCCCGAAAAAUCCCCAGAAACUGCUAAUACUGCUGCUGUUCAUCCCCCUGAAAAUCUGUUUUUUUGGACAGCCACAUACCCACAUUCAAACGGUGAUAACUUUCAAUUUAUAACUCCAAAUUGAGCGCAUAAAUACUCGUUGGAAAGGUAAGACAAAGUUCUACAUGAUCCCCAAACUGUUUUCCCUUAAUUUCUCACGAAAAAAACACAGAACUGCUAGAACUACUGCUGUUCAUCCACCACCUAAAAUUCUGGACAGCCCCCUCUACCCAAUCGCAUACGCAACCUCUAAUCAAUUAAAUUGCAGCGCAAAUGAACAAGGGAUGAACACAAAAAUCACCUUGGAUUCUCCCCCUUUCCUUCCUCCCUUCUUCCCUCCACCAAAACGAUUGAAGACUCGCACCACGUGACGAUGAUUCGAGCGGCAAGGAUUGGUACCUUGGGAGGAGGGGAUUGAGGGGGGGGGGCUAGGGUUUGGUGGCUGCAACAAUGGAGAGAGGAGGAGAUGGGCAGGGGGGGCGGCGGCCAAGGGGAAAGAAGUG
rnacentral:lncRNA from 1 species